UUGAGAUAUGGGCCAAGAGAAGCAGAAGAGGCAGGAGAGAGAAGGGAAGAAGGAAGGCCAGAGAAGCCCAGAGUGAAGACUUGCUGGAACUUGGAGGCCUACUGGCCUCCUAGACUCCCGGCACCCCUGCCUGCCGUGUACCUGGUUGCUGCACUACAUGUAAAAGCUCAAUAAAACCCUGAGGAAGCCACCGAGGGCUCCAGGACUCUUCUUUACCCGGUCAGUAUAGGAUCAUAGAAAACCUGCUCAGUGGCUCAUCCUGCUGCUACAUGGGCUCACACUUCCUCAGAGAAUUCAUUUGGAUGGCUUGGUUUUUCGCCAGCUUUCAGCGUGCUGUUGGGGUCCCAGAUCAGCGGAGCUGGGGAUGACAUCACCAACAUGACAGCAAAGCCCACUUUGCCAGGAAAAGAAAAAAGGAGGAAAAAUUUGGAGGCCACGGGAGAAUCCUGAGACAUCUGAGAACUCCCGAAGAUGACUGUAGGGGUGGCGUCACGGGGAUGCCAGAAGAAGCAAAGAGAAAUAAGCAGAGAGCAAAGAAGCAGAGAGAACGUGAGCGACAGAGAAGCUGAGACCACCAGAGAAUGCAGGAGAGCCCAGAUGGAGUGAAGACUUGCUGGAGGCUGGGAGGCCCGCCAGCCUCCCGGCCCCCCUGCACUCCUGCCAGCUAUGUACCCAGUAAAAUCCCAAUAAAAGCCUG